UAGGAUAUAUUGUAUAGCUAGUGUACAUAUAUUUUUGCAGGUCAUCACUUUUUUUUUUCUUCUCAUUAAUUGUUGUUUCGAAAGACAUUCAGAGUGUGCAUUCUGUUGGCAACCUAAGUUCUUUUCUCACAUAAUUGUCGCUUGAAUUGUUGAUGUUUUUACAAUUCCUUGAGACAUGCCUCGUUUAUUUUUCUCUGCAUAUUGUUUUACUUGAUUUAGGAAAUGAAGUCAGUUUUUUUAUGUUUGCUAGGAUGCAUAUAUUUUUAUCUGUAUAUAAGCUUAAUAAAAACUGUAGUAAAAGCCAA